AGGGAAUCUUCCGCAAUGGGCGAAAGCCUGACGGAGCAAUGCCGCGUGAGUGAAGAAGGCCUUCGGGUCGUAAAACUCUGUUAUAAGAGAAGAACAAAUUGUAGAGUAACUGCUACAGUCUUGACGGUAUCUUAUCAGAAAGCCACGGCUAACUACGUGCCAGCAGCCGCGGUAAUACGUAGGUGGCAAGCGUUGUCCGGAUUUAUUGGGCGUAAAGGGAGCGCAGGUGGUUUCUUAAGUCUGAUGUGAAAGCCCACGGCUUAACCGUGGAGGGUCAUUGGAAACUGGGAAACUUGAGUACAGAAGAGGAAUGUGGAACUCCAUGUGUAGCGGUGGAAUGCGUAGAUAUAUGGAAGAACACCAGUGGCGAAGGCGACAUUCUGGUCUGUUACUGACACUGAGGCUCGAAAGCGUGGGGAGCAAAC
rnacentral:rRNA from 1 species